rnacentral:rRNA from 1 species
ACAUCCAGAGAAUUUAGCAGAGAUGCUUUAGUGCCUUCGGGAACUCUGAGACAGGUGCUGCAUGGCUGUCGUCAGCUCGUGUUGUGAAAUGUUGGGUUAAGUCCCGCAACGAGCGCAACCCUAUCCUUUGUUGCCAGCACGUAAUGGUGGGAACUCAAAGGAGACUGCCGGUGAUAAACCGGAGGAAGGUGGGGAUGACGUCAAGUCAUCAUGGCCCUUACGAGUAGGGCUACACACGUGCUACAAUGGCGCAUACAAAGAGAAGCGACCUCGCGAGAGCAAGCGGACCUCAUAAAGUGCGUCGUAGUCCGGAUUGGAGUCUGCAACUCGACUCCAUGAAGUCGGAAUCGCUAGUAAUCGUAAAUCAGAAUGUUACGGUGAAUACGUUCCCGGGCCUUGUACACACCGCCCGUCACACCAUGGGAGUGGGUUGCAAAAGAAGUAGAUAGCUUAACCUUCGGGAGGGCGUUUACCACUUUGUGAUUCAUGACUGGGGUGAAGUCGUAACAAGGUAAGCGUAGUGCU